UCGGGUAAAAUCGAAAUACUUCAAACUAAUCUGAAAUAUGGACACAGGAACACACACACACAUAAGCACCUUAGGCCCAGUGAUACAAGGCCCAUUCACAAGUGUAUAUAAAGGAUGAUAGUCUACCCUAUUCAUUAUACAAACCCUAUGAACCACAGAUCCGCCGCUUUUGUUCUUUUUCCUCCCAUUUUCUCUUGUUUUGUUUCUCCGGUUGUUCCUUCUUCUCCUCUAUUUCUCUUCGGCAAGCCUUGAACAUACAUAUUAUUUCUUUGUUUAGCUUACACAUAUAUAUAUUUAUCUUAUAUACAUAUCUCAGAAGUUUAAUUGAAUUUGUAUAUAUAUCAUACGCUUGAUUUCGCUUGAUUUGGGGGUUUUAAAAAACAGUGCUUAUAUGAUUUUUUACGGUUGUGUUUUGAUGAAAAUGUUCAGGUUUAUGUGGUUAUUAUGGCUUUUACUCACGAAAAUAGAAUGAUGGUGAUUUUCAGAUAGGACCGGGGCGACAUGAGUUAUUUACCUGAUAUUGCGGUUCUUUGUCAUAAUUUAGCUAUUAUAAUUAUCUAUUUAUUGCAUGUUUUUGGUAAACAAUGAAGAUGAUACUCCAAAAAAUAUCAGAUGAAGUCAGGCUGCCAAGCAGAAGAAUUGUGUGGCGAAACUGAUGGAUCAGAUGAUGAGGACGAUGGAGAAGAAAAUGACAAAGAUGAUGACGAUGUAGGCGAUAUAUGGGGAUGGAUCUGCAAAUGACAGAGAUGAUGAGGUCGGUUCAGAUGAUGGAGAUGACUCUACCUAGUUGAUCCUUUGUUAUGUCGAAUUAACUUAGCAAUUAUCUAGCUCCAUCUAGUAGACCAAGUCUUUUGUUUAAAUUAUGCCUUGACCUUAUAAUGGCUUAUUUAAGUAUGCGACCUAGAUUGGAAUAUGUCUAGUCUCUAUUGUCACGGUCAUGGUACCGCUUUUGGAUUGUUGGCUACUUGAUGCUAAUUGGAAUUCUGAAUAGACAAUUGAAAUUUUUGGCUAUA